AUUGAACGCUGGCGGCAUGCUUUACACAUGCAAGUCGAACGGUAACAGGCCGCAAGGUGCUGACGAGUGGCGAACGGGUGAGUAAUGCAUCGGAACGUGCCCAGUCGUGGGGGAUAACUACUCGAAAGAGUAGCUAAUACCGCAUACGAUCUAUGGAUGAAAGCGGGGGACCGUAAGGCCUCGCGCGAUUGGAGCGGCCGAUGUCGGAUUAGGUAGUUGGUGGGGUAAAGGCUCACCAAGCCAACGAUCUGUAGCUGGUCUGAGAGGACAACCAGCCACACUGGGACUGAGACACGGCCCAGACUCCUACGGGAGGCAGCAGUGGGGAAUUUUGGACAAUGGGCGCAAGCCUGAUCCAGCAAUGCCGCGUGCAGGAAGAAGGCCUUCGGGUUGUAAACUGCUUUUGUACGGAACGAAACGGCUCUGGUUAAUACCCGGGGCUAAUGACGGUACCGUAAGAAUAAGCACCGGCUAACUACGU
rnacentral:rRNA from 1 species